CGAGUGAGCGGGAAAGCUCAAAUUUAAAAUCUGGCGGCUUUGGUCGUCCGAGUUGUAUCCUAGAGAAGUGUUUUCCGCGUUGGACCGUGUAUAAGUCUCUUGGAACAGAGCGUCAUAGAGGGUGAGAAUCCCGUCUUUGACACGGACUACCAAUGCUUUGUGAUACACUCUCAAAGAGUCGAGUUGUUUGGGAAUGCAGCUCAAAAUGGGUGGUAAAUUCCAUCUAAAGCUAAAUAUUGGCGAGAGACCGAUAGCGAACAAGUACCGUGAGGGAAAGAUGAAAAGCACUUUGGAAAGAGAGUUAAACAGUACGUGAAAUUGCUGAAAGGGAAACGAUUGAAGUCAGUCGCGUUAGCUAGAACUCAACCAGGCUUGCUUGGCGUAUUUUCUAGUUAACGGGCCAGCAUCAGUUUUGACUGCAGGAAAAAGGCCAGGGAAAUGUGGCACCUUCGGGUGUGUUAUAGUCUUUGGUCAUAUACUGCGAUUGGGACUGAGGUUCGCAGCACGCGCAAGCUGUGCUUAGGAUGCUGGCGUAAUGGCUUUAAACGACCC
rnacentral:rRNA from 2 species